AUUGAACGCUGGCGGCAUGCUUUACACAUGCAAGUCGAACGGUAACAGGGUGCUUGCACCGCUGACGAGUGGCGAACGGGUGAGUAAUGCGUCGGAACGUGCCGAGUAGUGGGGGAUAACGCAGCGAAAGUUGUGCUAAUACCGCAUACGUACUGAGGUAGAAAGUGGGGGACCUUCGGGCCGCACGCUAUUCGAGCGGCCGACGUCUGAUUAGCUAGUAGGUGCGGUAACGGCUCACCUAGGCGGCGAUCAGUAGCGGGUCUGAGAGGAUGACCCGCCACACUGGGACUGAGACACGGCCCAGACUCCUACGGGAGGCAGCAGUGGGGAAUUUUGGACAAUGGGCGAAAGCCUGAUCCAGCCAUGCCGCGUGUCUGAAGAAGGCCUUCGGGUUGUAAAGGACUUUUGUCGGGGAGGAAAUCCCCAGCGUUAAUACCGCUGGGGGAUGACAGUACCUGAAGAAUAAGCACCGGCUAACCACGUGCCAGCCGCCGCCGUAA
rnacentral:rRNA from 1 species